rnacentral:rRNA from 8 species
AAAUGACCUAGAAGUUGGAUUAGCAGCAUCCAUCUUCUAAAGAGUGCGUAGCUUCUCAUGGGUUAAGUUG